rnacentral:tRNA from 1 species
CCGCCCAUAGCUCAGUUGGUAGAGCAAGGGACUCUUAAUCCCUGUGUCGUAGGUUCGAGCCCUACUGGGCGGA